UGAAAUUCCACCACUACCGCACUUCUCCGCCAGUCACAACCUCCACUGCCGGCGCUCCUCUUAUUCACCGCAGUUUCCUUCCUCUAAAUUUCAGGCAUCUUCUGAUUUUAAACAGCCCCGCUACCAUCACAUGUCCCUGAGUAGUCCCUAGAACUUGUAUCUUGUGGUGGCUGGAGGCUGUUUCUGGUGGUGAAUUUGGCCGGAGAAAUUGUUAGAUCUUGCAAUCAAGAGUAACUGUUAGAUCUUGCCACCUGAUACUUUUACUACGACUUAGAAAGAGAAAAGGCGACCAAUGUUUAAGUGACGUAAUGGAAGAAAAGCAUAUCAACUGUCCAUAUUAGGAGCACAAGUUGCCUUGAAUAUAAGGUGUUGACUUUCUGUCAUUGGCAUUGGAUGAUUACGUGUUUGUAUGGUCAUAUUCUCAUUAUGUGUAGCAAGCCUAAGAAUUACAACAUUCAUUAAAUUGACAAAGAUUGGAGCAGCAUGCUGACAAGUGUUGUUGGGAAGAACCGAAUACCCUAUAAUACCAUCAUCAUUCUGAGGAUCCAUCAUAAUGGCCCCAUAUCUUGAGUCAUAAGAUUCAUUGAAGCUGGACAUCAAUAGCAUCUUACAAUACCUUACUAGGAUCAGGAAAUGUGUAUGUGCUUUCUUUAAACUUUUGAAUUCAACACCCUUCUAUAUAUUGUGAAACCUGUUUAGCAAUAGGCAAUGAAAGAUCAAAAGGAAUAGGACCACCACCACCUUCACCGCUAAGUAGAGGAUUAAAGUUGAAAGUUGUGAAGGUUAUGGAGGGUUGAUCAGGAUGUGCCAACCUGAAGCAACAGAUCAAAAGAGCCCAAUUAAGCAACCUUACAAGCUCAUGUUGUAAAAUUUAAGUAAAAUCUGAGAAAUUACUUUGCUCACGCAUGUUGCUGAUGAAAUAUGUCUGUGGAUAUACAUAAUUAA